rnacentral:rRNA from 1 species
GGGGAAUAUUGCACAAUGGGGGAAACCCUGAUGCAGCAACGCCGCGUGAGCGAUGAAGGCCUUUGGGUUGUAAAGCUCUGUCUUCUCUGACGAUAAUGACGGUAAGAGAGGAGGAAGCCACGGCUAACUACGUGCCAGCAGCCGCGGUAAUACGUAGGUGGCAAGCGUUGUCCGGAAUUAUUGGGCGUAAAGGAUGCGUAGGCGGCCUUUUAAGUGGGAUGUGAAAUACCCGGGCUUAACCCGGGAAUGGCAUUCCAAACUGGAAGGCUAGAGUGCAGGAGAGGAAAGUGGAAUUCCCAGUGUAGCGGUGAAAUGCGUAGAGAUUGGGAGGAACACCAGUGGCGAAGGCGACUUUCUGGACUGUAACUGACGCUGAGAUACGAAAGCGUGAGGAGCAAAC